AACUUUAUAGUCAAUAAUGAUAUUAGACUGCAAUUCUAAAGGAAUAAAAAAUAUUUAUUAAGGUUU
rnacentral:tRNA from 1 species